rnacentral:lncRNA from 1 species
CUGUAACCAACAUCCUGAUGGCUUUAAGGGCCAGUCUGUGAAGAAUGGAGAGGAGGGAAAAGAAUGCCAGAUUCGUAUCCUGGAGUCACACUGAGUGGUGCGAGGAUGCCUUGCCCUGUCACUGGCCCCGCAAGCUGGCAUCCUGACAGUUGUAGAUAUUUGAUAUGUAUCAGAGCCCAAAAGACCUUCCUAGUGACCCAGAAGGAUGAUCUCGUACAUGGAGAAACGGAAGCCUGGAGACAGAGCUAGACUCGUUCCAGUAAACUGGAUUCCCGAGGUAGGGAGAAGUUAAGUUCUCCUUUUGGCUCUCAUUUGCAUCUGAAUGUCGGCCCCCCACCGAGUGCUAAAUACCCAAGACGCCUCUGGGGCCCUUCACUAACUGCUUUCUCUUUCCUGGUAAAAGCUGGCUUAAAACUUGGGUCCCAGAGCAACUGGCUUUAUCUCAUUAGAACUGGCCCAGGGUAGAGUCUUUGAGUUUAUUUCCCUCAUAGGUGGGUUCUUGAGGGAUCACGUCGUCGGUGGUGAGAAUUUAAUGUUAUUAAAAGCCAGCUGACCGUGGAGGGGGGUAAAGCCCUAAGCCGGUGAUGGGAGGAAUGGAAGUUUACUAAGUCUGAGAACAUGGGGACAGUGAAAGCUGUCAUCUGAGGUCCCUUGAUCCAGCAGGAAGGUAGAGAGAGGGACCUGUGGUCAAAUUCCACGGUACCUCAUUUCUUUUAGAGACAGUUUUUAUCAAAGUGUGUGUGAGUGAGUGAGUGUGUGUGAGAGUGUGUGAGUGUGUGUGUGUGUGUGUUCACGUGGGUAUGACCUCAUCUACAAGCAUGUGGAAGUCAGGAAUCAACUUUGGGUGUUGUUCC